rnacentral:lncRNA from 1 species
GAGAGCUGUUUGUGUGCCAGGCUGUGUGCCGGGUUCCCUCCUUCCCUUGAAGGCAGUCUUGGGAAGGUGGAGGUACUGAAAGGAUGAGUCCAGUCUCCACAAAGUGCCUCCCAACCUGACACAACUCCUACGUUCUCUCACAUGGAAGAGUAAGAUGAAAGUCAACAAGGAGUCUUAUUUGAAGCAGCUCCUUCUCCCACAGCUGCCCAUACCUUCCCUGCAUUCCCUCUGCAUUCAGCAGCUACUGACUUGGAAUUCUCAAAACAGUGUUCAUACUUCUGCUCCAGCCUCAGCUGCACUGGGAUUUCAGUCUAAAUGAGCUGAGAAAAAGGUUCCAAACAGCGAGCUCGGAAGCCUAAAACUCAGGAAAAAGCCCUUCCGUGGCUCCAUCCAGCUGAGCAAACCCUGAAAGCCAACAUGAUUGAUGCUCCAGCAUGGGCAAGGAAGAGCCCCAACUCCCCUUCAGAGACCCUUGCUUGCUUUACUCUGUGUGAUUUCAUGCAUAGGACAGGGAUCUUGAAGGCCUUGAAAGUAAAAUAAACAAAAA